GAAAUACUUCCUUCGUCCCAAAUUUUUUGUUUUAAAUUUGUUUAAAUAUGAAUGUAUCUAGUCACGUUUUAAUAUUUUGAUACAUUCAUUUUUAGAUAAACCUAAGACAAAAAAAUUAAAACGAAGUAAGUAAAAU
rnacentral:pre_miRNA from 1 species